UCUUGACAGCUUGUUGGGUCGGGCAACCCGACCCCAGUAUCCCAUUUGGAUUAUUAAGAGGGUCGGUGGGACAGAAAGUAGAAUAAAGAGGGAAGAGGUGUGAUCCACCGUCGUAUUGACGGUGGACACGUGGGUGGGUUUCAAACGGUGUGGACCCACAAAGGACGAGGAGGAAGAGAACAAAUUUGCCCCGAAGUUAUCUUGAUUGGGUGGGAAUGAUUCAGAAGCGUCAGAUAUGUUGACGGUUUUCUAGCGCUGUUUUAGGACUUUUGAGGUAGAACUCAGAAGGCAUGUGACUUUAUGCUGGGUUGUUGGACGUAUUUAUAAAAAAAAAAAAUAGACAAUUUUAGGUUUUAUAGGUAGAUUCUACGGCUAAAAUCAAGUGAUUGUAUGGUCCUUGCUGCUUUGGUUAACACCAAACGCCCUGUUGUCGAUGUUAUGUAAUCCGAUCCAUUUUGAGGAUACGUUAGGUUGCUGGCAGAUUAAGGCCCAAACCUUACUCGAUUGAGAUAUCUUUCAAUUUGGUUGUGAUAUUUAAAGAUGAAUAAUUCUUGUUGCAGUCGCAUGGGAGAACUGGCGUGCACCUGAAAAAAUGAAAUGAACUGUUUCAUUCUUUUCUCUCCUUCCGUGAUUCUUGAAAAUCGGAGAGAGAAGGAGCUUAGAAAUACACCAGGUUGCAGAGGAAAUCGAAAUUGAAAUCGGAAAGAAAACCAUAAUUAUACUGGUUGUGCCAACACUAUUGGCAACCAAGGGGGAGGAAGUGAACACCUUGAUUUUGCACAAAUCUGCUCCAAAAAAAUUUCAAGAAAAGUUUCAAUAUACGGUGAGUGAAGAGCUCCCCGAACAUCCAUCCUCCUUCCCUAACCCAGAGACCUUUGUUACUUCAUACCCAUUUCAAUUUUUUUUUUUUUUAAGAAUGUUCCACUUGCUAUUGAUAUAGAGACUAUCUAUUUAUUAGUUCUAUUUUAUUUUUCCUGGUUUUUGGGAGGGAAACCUAGAUUGGGUUCUAUAGUGGAUCUGCACAGGGGAAUGUAUAGAGUAGUCGUUGAAAAUUCUUUUUCCUAGAACUGUUGUUGAAGCUCAAUCAAUGCACGAAGAGGAACUGAAACCCCCGAUGAACCAAUCGAAACUCCAUGACGACGAAAACAACCUCCAUCCCACUGUGCAUAGAUCAACAAUGCCAACCCACGAAAUUUAUCACUCCGUCGAAGAAGAGAAGCUCCAGCCACAAAGACGAAUAGAAGUGUAUUUUUUUAGCAUUUUUGCAUUUUUUUUUUUUUUUUUCUGCACCCCAAUGCUCUCCGUGAGUUGCAUUUUUUGAUUUUGUUUCUUUCCGAUUUCUUUUUGUUUUUUAAAUCGAUUGAUGUGGUACAUCAACCGAUUGCACCAUAAUUACACAAGGCCGACUGUCCGUAAAAAAACUCAAAUAAUAUUAAUCUUUACAAAUA